AUCUCAACCAUUGGAUGAAAAUGAGGUUAAAUCCUGGCCCUUAUAAUUCAUAGAAAGCUUCUAGAAGGGGAAGUUUUUUCACGGUUAUUUUGGAUUCCUUUGACCUGCACAUCAGAAAUUCUUGGAAGGAUAAAGCCCACGAUCUUCAGUUAGCGACGGUUUUCAGCUUUUCAUCUAUAACCGGUUGUGGCCCCUUUCUCCGGUGAUUCUAAAUGCAAAAGAUACAUACAUGUUAAAUCCUUGUCUCUCUUCUUCAUCGCAUCUUCUCUCUGUGCUUCUCUGGUCCCUCGUCUCGGUAAUUAUUCAUAACAGCAGUCAAAAUUGGUUGCCUAUAUGUCCCAUCUCCACAACCUAAAUCUGCAUUUUCACCUUCGAAUUACCAUCUGUUCAAGGCAAACCUUGGUGUUGGAACAUAGCGCACAUCAUUACCUGGAGUGGCCAACUCUUCCAUGCUGCUAAAGAUCUGAAAAGCCCUAUGUAUACAGAGAUGGACUAAGCGAAGCCUAACAAAAGUCUCAGUGUGUAGAAUGUGGAAUAUCACAAGAGUUCUAUGGAGGCUGCAAGAAGUUCAAGUAUUAAGGCGAGGCAAUUAGCGGCUUCUAGUCUCUGGUGUCUCCUUUUUCAAUUGGAUUUUAAAGUAAUUGACGGUGAUGCUGCCAAAUUAAAUCAUAAUUGUGCAGUUCUGAUCAGAGUAAAUUUCAUUGGUGCUGCAAUGUAAUGGGAACAUGAUAAAAUUGUUACGUGUUGGUUAUAUGAGUCAAAGUCAUGGUCAAAGCUCCUACUCCUCUGAUGAGUUCCCUAACUCAAAGACGAAGGUGUCAUGGGUUACCAAUGAAGAUGGUUAGCUUGGUAUUUCACAUUUUCACUCAUUCCAUGAAGAGCUUUGUUAACUCAGUCAAUUUGUUGUUGCUUGCAGUUAAAAGGGGUAAAUACAUCGGUUUGCAGGUUCAUGUUAAAUUCCAAAUAUGUAUUUACACAUCUUGGACAUUAAUUUAUCUUAAAUCCCAAAAUUUAAUUGCCACUGUUUAAGAAACUAGCCAUUAUUUUAUUUUUUGUUGCAGAUGUAUCGAAUGGUAAAGACAACUGAUCGGGCACCGGCUUCUUCAGACCAGCUGUUUUCCAAUGUUAACUAGGGCAGUUUAUCUUUGCGAAAACUCUUCAUCCAGGGAUAAUUAUGAUGAUAUGCUAUCUGACAUUCGUAACCCACGAACCAAAGAACGAUCAGCUGAAAGAUAGAGGAAGGUCUAGAUUUUACCAGGAAAAAUAUUAUCAGUAUGGAGCAAUUCUUCAAGGUGUCAAGUACAUUGAAAAUGAACAAUGUUCAUGACGAGACAUAGCAUGGCGAGGCGACACAAUGUGUAGGAACGGCGUCAAGGCCUUUGAGCUAAUACCACCCUUAACUAUUUCAAUUGAGCCUUCAAAACCUUAUAUUGAGCCGCUUAGGUCAGGGGUCUUUCCCCCAAAAGCCGAAAAGUGGCACAACACUGAGAUGGCAUUGUUGUUGUUGCGGUUCAGGAACUUUAGUGUUUCCCGCCAGCUGUUUCAAAUGAAUGUCCAAAAAAAUUGUAAUAACUUUCUUUAGUUUGUAGGAAAAGGCAUUGCAAGUUUAUAGAAAUGUUUGAACAGAGCACGGUAAUUUUCGAAA